rnacentral:lncRNA from 1 species
GCACGUUGGAAGUCACGUUACCUGGAUACUGUCACCUGGAUACUGUCACCUGCUGGCUGACAGCGCUACAAGCCGAGAAGGACUCAGCCUGACAGUUGGUCAAGGUGAAAGCAUUACUUGUGUCUUAGUUCCGUCAGUCUUUAAUGUACAGUUUAGAGGGGAAAAUAUGUUGCCUGUUAGGUCCAUAUAUGUGCCCCGGUUUGGCUCACCGCUGGGCUCCAGUCAAAGAGAUGAACCACAACCAGACCAGACCACGGCCCGGACAACCCAGACUAAGCACCCAUCUCGGGACAAGCGCGGGAACAAGCACGGGAACAAGCGGGGUAACGUUGUAAAAGCUCGGGUCUUUUUAAAAGUUAAAUUACCAAAACUCAACAGCAGUUUGACCAACAAAGUGACACAAGAGGACAGACCGAAAAGAUGGACGAAGGAGCCAGCAGCAAAUACAACCACGACAACUGUGAGCCGAGGAGGUAUGAGCUUCAAACGGGCACGAGACGCCUCUGUCUCCUCCGACAGAGCAGAGACUGGGACUAAUCGCAGCGGGCGCCACACACCUCAGGAAGGUAGCAAUUUUCUAUCAUUACCGUUAAAUCCUGCUUAAAAGAACCGGAUUCCACAGACCUAAUUACAAGGUGUUAAUAAUAACAAUCUAAUGAC